CUGAUCUGCCCGUUCACUAGCGAAACCACCCAACUUUUUCUGUCAGCAUGUUUGCCUACGUCCGGUAUAUUGACGACAACAUCCGACAGAUAGUGCCCUUGGACUACGUAAAAGGCUUCUGUCCAAAGGAUCUCAAGGAUUUUGAAACCAAGAAAAAAUAUAAUAUUUUGUGGAAGAAAUCAGCCAGAGGACCAGGGGCAAUACUACAAAGCACAGAUAUUAAAAUUGGCUGAAUCUGAAGAGGAAUUAAAGCG